GCCCUGGUGGCUCAGAUGGUAAAGCGUCUGCCUGCAAUGCAGGAGACUCAGGUUCGAUCCCUGGAUUGGGAA
rnacentral:tRNA from 1 species